UGGGUUUUGGGAUAUGGUGAAGGGAAGUUUAGUGACAAAGAUGUUAAGAAGUUCAAUUUAAAGAAUCCACCAUUGAGAAAUACUGUUGUGAUUUAUCCCUAUGGAUGGACAGCACUAAGAUUUGUGACUGAUAAUCCAGGAGUUUGGGCUUUUCAUUGUCACAUUGAGCCUCAUUUGCAUAUGGGAAUGGGAGUAAUAUUGGCUGAGGGUGUUCAUCUUGUUAAGAAUAUACCUAGAGAAGCUUUGGCUUGUGGUUUGACAGGAAAAAUGCUUAUGACUAACAAGCAUAAUUAAAUAUUUUUUGAAUUGGAAUCUGGUGGAUAAGAGGGGUUUUUCUUGCUUGUCUUUUGAUUUUUGUAAUUUAUUUUGAGUGUGACUUGGAGGUGAGGUAAUAUUAGAAUGUGUGUUAUUAAGAGGUCAAGGGCCUAAAUGUUGUUGGGA
rnacentral:misc_RNA from 1 species